rnacentral:tRNA from 1 species
GCCCCAGUGGCCUAAUGGAUAAGGCACUGGCCUCCUUUGCCAGGGAUUGUGGGUUCAAGUCCCAUCUGGGGUG